ACAUUUAGCUGAACAAGAUCUAUUCUAUAGGCCCGUGCCUCUGUAUUCUUGAUUCUUAAGAAGACAAAAACCCAUGUGUGUUUGAUGAACCACGACCAUGUUACCAGAGCAUGAUUAAUAGAGUUUUUCUCAUGGUUCCGACCAUGGAUCGAUAGAUGAUCGUUACCUACCCAUUUUGAUGUGUCUUGGCAUGGCUACAUGGUUGUCUGGCAGACU